GCCUUCGCCUUGUAUGUAUAGCAGCAGCAGAAACAGCAGCGCCGGUCUGAGCGAGAGAGACUGACGCCCGUGUGCAUGCAUGCGAAAGGAAAAACGCUCACUUGGAUGCAAUUUUCAUUAGUAAGAAAAUUGUGAGAACCUAAGGAAGGAAAGAAAAAAAAGCAAAAACAAAACGAAAAGAAAAACAUUCCAGACAGUACAAUUGCAACACGACGAAAUUGACAAUACAAUUGCGCAGAUAGUUGUAGAUCCCAGGGUCCAGAAGAGACUGUGCCAUACAAAAGGGGCACAGAGACUGUGUGUGUGUGCGCGUGUGUGUGUGUGUAUGUGCGGUGUGUGUGUUUGAAUCGACAACAACACCCAUAACAACAACAACAAUUGCAGCGCAGUCGAACAACAACUAAAAUGCGGCGGCAGUCAACGAUGCUGGCCGCGAUAUUACUGGCUGCCAUUUUAGGCAGCACAACGGCAAUGAACAAUUCCCCGCCGCGGAUCAUCAAACAGCCACCCACAGAUGAGCUGCUUUUCAAGGUGGCGCAACAGAACAAAGAGAGCGACAAGCCAUUCAUUAUCGAGUGCGAGGCCGAUGGACAACCGGAACCGGAAUAUAGAUGGAUCAAGAACGGCAAGAAGUUUGACUGGCAGGCGUACGACAAUCGUAUGCUGCGCCAGCCAGGACGUGGCACACUGGUGAUCACAUCACCCAAAGAUGAGGAUCUGGGACAGUAUCAGUGCUUUGCCUCCAAUGAGUUUGGCGUUGCCACAUCGAAUUCGGUGUUUGUGCGAAAGGCGGAGCUGAAUGCUUUCAAGGACGAGGCAGCCCGCAGCGUUGAGGCCGUCGAGGGUGAACCAUUCUCGCUGCAGUGCGAGGCGCCCGAUGGCUGGCCAAAGCCCACUGUCAACUGGCUGAUACAGCAGACCAUCGAUGCGGGCAUUAAGUCGAUCAACAAUUCACGCAUGACCCUCGACCCGGAGGGCACACUCUGGUUCUCCAAUGUGACACGCGAUGAUGCCAGCGGCGAUUUCUGGUAUGCCUGCUCGGCAACGUCGGUGUUCCGCAACGAGUACAAGAUCGGCAAUAAGAUACUGUUGGACGUCAAGCAGAUGGGCGUGAGUGCAUCCCAGAAUCGUUAUCCGCCCAAGCGUCAGUAUGUGACCCGCAAGAACGAGGUGGCGCUGCGCGGCAAACGUGUCGAACUGUUUUGCAUCUAUGGCGGCACACCGUUGCCGCAAACCGUCUGGUACAAGGAUGGAAAACGGGUGGAAUGGAACGAUCGCAUUACCCAAGGCAAUUAUGGUAAAUCUCUGGUUAUAAGGCAGGCCAAUUUCGACGAUGAGGGCACCUACAACUGUGACGUGUCCAAUGGUGUGGACCAGGCGCAAUCCUAUUCGAUCAAUUUGAAAAUUCAUGCCAUACCCUACUUCACCGAGGAGCCAGAGAUACAAAAUGCCGCCGAGGAUGAGGAGGUCAUAUUCAAUUGUAAGGCCGCCGGACAUCCGGAGCCGACCAUUCAAUGGAUACACAAUGGCAAGCCGAUUGCGCAAAGCGAACCAAAUCCUCGACGCACCGUUACCAACAACUACAUUAAGAUCGUGAAUCUGGUGAAGAAGGACACGGGCAAUUAUGGCUGCAACGCCACGAAUUCCCUUGGCUAUGUCUACAAGGAUGUGUACCUCAAUGUGCUCGCACUGCCCCCAGAGAUCCAGGAGCCACCACGUGCCGAGGCCACCGUCAACGGACGCAACAUCACAAUGCGUUGUCGCGUCUUUGGUGCACCCAAGCCCCAGGUGAAAUGGCGCCACAAUAAUAACUGGCUGACCGGUGGUCGUUACAAUGUGCUGCCAUCGGGCGAUCUGGAGAUACAGGAGGUGACCUUCGCUGACAAUGGCAAUUACACCUGCUUGGCGGUCAACAAGUUUGGCAAUGCGACGGCCGAUGGUUCAUUGGUGGUAAAGGAGCGCACCAGGAUUACACAGGAGCCGCAAAACUAUGAGGUCGCCGCCGGCCAAUCGGCCACAUUCCGUUGCAACGAAGCGCACGACGACACCUUGGACCUGGAGAUCGAAUGGCUGAAGGAUGGUCAACCGAUUGAUUUUGAUGCAGAGGCACGAUUUGUGAAGACCAACGACAAUUCACUGACAAUUGCCAAGACCAUGGAGCUGGAUUCGGGCGAAUACACGUGCGUUGCGCGCACUCAACUGGACGAGGCCACGGCCAAGGCGAAUCUUAUAGUGCAGGAUGUGCCGAAUGCGCCCCGUUUGAUAGGCAUCAUAUGCCAAGCCGAUAAGGCAAAGAUCUCCUGGGAGCCGCAAGGUGAUAAUCGCUCGCCCAUUCUACACUACACGAUCCAGUUCAACACAUCGUUCACGCCCGCCUCCUGGGAUACGGCAUACGAGAAGGUGCCCAGCACUGACUUCUCAUUUGUACUGCAAAUGUCGCCAUGGGCCAACUAUACGUACCGUGUGAUUGCCUUCAAUAAGAUCGGCCCAUCGCCGCCGUCGGGACAUAGCGAGGCGUGCACCACACAGCCGGAUGUGCCAUACAAGAAUCCGGACAACGUUGUCGGCCAGGGCACAGAGCCAACUAAUUUGGUCAUCACAUGGACACCGAUGCCGGAGAUCGAACAUAAUGCUCCGAACUUCCAAUAUCGUGUCAGCUGGAAGCGUGACAUACCCGCUGCGACCUGGGAGAACAAGGACAUCUAUGAUUGGCGCCAGAACAAUCUCCUGAUUCCCGAUCAGCCGACAUUCGUCAAAUAUCACAUCAAAGUGGUGGCUAUCAAUGAGCGCGGCGAAUCGAAUGUUGACGCCGAGGAGGUGAUCGGCUACUCUGGCGAGGACCGUCCCCUCGAGGCACCCACUAACUUUAGCAUGCAGCAAGUAACCAGUGCAACCCAUGCCUAUGUCGGCUGGAAUCCAGUUAGCCCGGAAUCGGUGCGCGGUCAUUUCAAGGGCUACAAGAUCCAAACCUGGACGGACAAGGAGGGCGAAGAGGGACUGCGUGAAAUACACACAAUCCAGAACGGGGCGCUCGUCACACAAUUCAAGCCCGACUCCAAGAACUAUGCCCGCGUCCUGGCUUACAAUGGACGCUUCAAUGGACCGCCCAGCGCUGUGAUUGACUUUGACACGCCCGAGGGUGUGCCGUCAUCAGUGCAAUCUCUGGAGGCUUAUCCGCUAGGCUCAUCAGCUUUCUGGCUAACCUGGAAGAAGCCGCUCAAUCCCAAUGGCAAGCUGACUGGCUACAAAAUCUACUAUGAGGUGGUCAAGGGCAGCUAUGUGGGCGAACGACGCGAAUAUGAACCCCAUAUCACCGAUCCUCGCAUCACACGCAUGAAAAUGGCCGGUCUGAAACCGAAGACCAAGUAUCGCAUCUCCAUCACAGCCACAACCAAAAUGGGCGAAGGCACCGAGCAUUACAUCGAGAAGACCACGCUGGGUGAAGAUGUUGAGCCGCCAUCCACACCAUCCCUAACUUGGGAGGCGAUCCAGUCGCCGAAUGGUCAGCCUACCUACCGUAUAAAUUGGGUGCCCAGCACUGAUGGCCGUUCGGGCUCACACUUCUUCACCAAGUACAGAAUCAAGGGCGAAACGGAAUGGACUAGCAAAGAACCCGAGAAAUCAGUCGACUAUCAGGAGGUGGGCAGCCUCGAUCCGGAUACAGUUUACGAGUUCCGCGUUGUGUCCGUCGAUGGACAUUAUCACACGGAGAGCGCCACACACGAGAUUGACACGAACAGCGCCGAGGGACCCAUAAUGGUGCGCAACGAGACUCUGGCGAAUGCCGGCUGGUUCAUUGGCAUGAUGUUGGCUCUGGCCAUCAUCAUUAUCCUGUUUAUCAUCAUUUGCAUUAUACGUCGCAAUCGUGGUGGCAAAUAUGAUGUGCACGAUCGCGAGCUGGCCAAUGGCAGGCGCGAUUAUCCGGAUGAGGGCGGUUUUCACGAGUACUCGCAACCUUUGGAUAACAAGAGCGCUGGUCGCCAAUCCGUUAGUUCAGCGAAUAAGCCCGGCGUGGAGAGCGAUACCGACUCGAUGGCCGAAUACGGCGAUGGCGAUACAGCUGUGACCACAGCCGCCGGUCAUGCUGCCACCGCUGCGCGCAAGGUGGGCAUCAAGCAGCCAUCGACCUUGCCCCAGCCUCACUUGCAGUCAUCGCCGCCGCCCUACGACAAAGCCAUGAGCCAACAAAUUCACUCAGCCUAGUCUCACAAUCAUCUUUCGAUUAUUUAUGUUUUUGCACAAACACACACACACACACACAGACGCACACACAGCAUAUAACUCUAACUGUGGGCGGCGACGGUGGCGGCGUUGGCUUCAUCUUUCUUCAACCAUUUCGUUCAGGCAUGAACGAAGAUGGUUCCUUUAUUGGUCAAUAUGGACGCAAAGGACUUUGAUUUAAUUUGUAAGCAGCGCGGCUU